UUCGAACCAUUGUAAUGACCAUCCCAUUCCAGUCAUAGUACUCAUAGAUCUACUUCAAGAUUGUGUUGAUUUGUGAUUAACUCGACUCUAUUCUAACAACUUUGGAAUGUGUGCGUCAAGCAAAGACUCGGAACCAAAGAGUGAAAGAAUGAUGGCAUCACUAUGAUCACUUCUUGCUGGAUCUGUCCAAGAGUCAAUGAGUACAGGUGGACCAUGUUGGAAAAUAACUUUCAGUCAAGACUCAAGUUGAGACAAGAGCUCCAUUGAUGUUAUUGAUCAAACUGAACAUGUUCUAGAGAUACUGGAGAAAAGAUCUGAGUGCAGUACAGACUCAUUAAUUAAAAGAAGCAGAGAUAAAUACAAUCAGGAUUGGGUAUGAAGCAAAAUUCCCAAUGGAAAAUAAUGUAUCACUGUUGGAAAUAGAAGUGAAACUGAAGGAUGAAGAUUCUCAUGAAAAUUUGGUAAGGCC
rnacentral:sRNA from 1 species